rnacentral:rRNA from 1 species
CUCAGGACCGACGCUGGCGGCGUGCCUAAUACAUGCAAGUCGAGCGGACAGAAGGGAGCUUGCUCCCGGAUGUUAGCGGCGGACGGGUGAGUAACACGUGGGUAACCUGCCUGUAAGACUGGGAUAACUCCGGGAAACCGGAGCUAAUACCGGAUAGUUCCUUGAACCGCAUGGUUCAAGGAUGAAAGACGGUUUCGGCUGUCACUUACAGAUGGACCCGCGGCGCAUUAGCUAGUUGGUGGGGUAAUGGCUCACCAAGGCGACGAUGCGUAGCCGACCUGAGAGGGUGAUCGGCCACACUGGGACUGAGACACGGCCCAGACUCUUACGGGAGGCAGCAGUAGGGAAUCUUCCGCAAUGGACGAAAGUCUGACGGAGCAACGCCGCGUGAGUGAUGAAGGUUUUCGGAUCGUAAAGCUCUGUUGUUAGGGAAGAACAAGUGCGAGAGUAACUGCUCGCACCUUGACGGUACCUAACCAGAAAGCCACGGCUAACUACGUGCCAGCAGCCGCGGUAAUACGUAGGUGGCAAGCGUUGUCCGGAAUUAUUGGGCGUAAAGGGCUCGCAGGCGGUUUUUUAAGUCUGAUGUGAAAGCCCCCGGCUCAACCGGGGAGGGUCAUUGGAAACUGGGAAACUUGAGUGCAGAAGAGGAGAGUGGAAUUCCACGUGUAGCGGUGAAAUGCGUAGAGAUGUGGAGGAACACCAGUGGCGAAGGCGACUCUCUGGUCUGUAACUGACGCUGAGGAGCGAAAGCGUGGGGAGCGAACAGGAUUAGAUACCCUGGUAGUCCACGCCGUAAACGAUGAGUGCUAAGUGUUAGGGGGUUUCCGCCCCUUAGUGCUGCAGCUAACGCAUUAAGCACUCCGCCUGGAGACGCCGGUG